rnacentral:snRNA from 1 species
AGAUGUGAUGGCGAUCUGGCUGUGACAUUUGUCACCCCAUUGAUUGCCAGGGUUGAUUUGGCUGCUUUAGCUGGUUAGGCAGGUGUCCCCUUCCUCCCGCAUUUCUCCAUGUGCAUCCCUCCCAAAGCUGCAUGCUUGGUGGAAGGGGACAACAUCCCAGGUAUAAAAUGAGUAUACUGAGGUCUCCAGUCUUCGGUCCCUGGUAUAAGAUAGCUAAAAUCUCACUCCUUUGCUGAGUGGGAAAUCCUUGUCCUUAAUUGAUACAAGACAAGAGGUAGAAUUUCCUUGUCACUACCAAUGAAACAUGAGGUUUCUUU